GUGCUCACUUUGGCAGCACAUGUACUAAAAUUGGAACCAUACAAAGAAGAUCAGCAUGGCACCUGUGCAAGGAUGACAUGGAAAUUCAUAAAGUGAUCUCUAUUUUU